UACGUAGGGGGCAAGCGUUGUCCGGAUUUAUUGGGCGUAAAGAGCGUGUAGGCGGCCAGGUAGGUCUGCUGUGAAAACUCGAGGCUUAACCUCGAGCUGUCGGCGGAAACCAUCUGGCUAGAGUCCGGAAGAGGAGAAUGGAAUUCCCGGUGUAGCGGUGAAAUGCGCAGAUAUCGGGAAGAACACCCGUGGCGAAGGCGGGUUGCUGGGCCGACACUGACGCUGAGGCGCGAAAGCUAGGGGAGCGAACGGG
rnacentral:rRNA from 1 species